rnacentral:rRNA from 1 species
CCUACGGGCGGCAGCAGUAGGGAAUAUUGCUCAAUGGGCGAAACCCUGAAGCAGCAACGCCGCGUGGAGGAUGAAGGUUUUCGGAUUGUAAACCUCUUUUGUUAGAGAAGAUAAUGACGGUAUCUAACGAAUAAGCACUGGCUAACUCCGUGCCAGCAGCCGCGGUAAUACGGAGGGUGCAAGCGUUCCUCGGAAUCACUGGGCGUAAAGAGCGCGUAGGCGGGAUAGCAAGUCAGAUGUGAAAUCCUUUGGCUGAAACAUAGAACUGCAUUUGAAACUGUUAUUCUAGAGUAUGGGAGAGGUAGGUGGAAUUCGUGGUGUAGGGGUGAAAUCCGUAGAGAUCAAGAGGAAUACUCAUUGCGAAGGCGACCUGCUAGAACAUAACUGACGCUGAUGCGCGAAAGCGUGGGGAGCAAACAGGAUUAGAUACCCUUGUAGUC